rnacentral:rRNA from 1 species
CAGAACGAACGCUGGCGGCGUGGAUUAGGCAUGCAAGUCGAACGAGAAAGCUCCCUUCGGGGAGUGAGUACAGUGGCGAACUGGUGAGUAACAGGUGGGUAAUGUGCCUCGAAGUGCAGAAUAACUCCUGGAAACAGGGGCUAAUACCGCAUGUGACACUUGGUCCUGCGGGACUAAGUGUUAAAGGCCCUCGGGUCGCUUCGAGAUCAGCCCGCCCCCCAUUAGCUUGUUGGCAGGGUAAUGGCCUACCAAGGCGACGAUGGGUAGCUGGUCUGAGAGGAUGGUCAGCCACACUGGGACUGAGAUACGGCCCAGACUCCUACGGGAGGCAGCAGUCUAGAGGCUUCCACAAUGGACGAAAGUCAGAUGGAGCGACGCCGCGUGUGUGAUGACGCCCUUCGGGGUGUAAAGCACUGUCAGUGGGGAAGAAGGUUCGGGAGGUUAUCUUCUCGAGCUUGACGGUACCUGCAGAGGAAGUGCCGGCUAACUCCGUGCCAGCAGCCGCGGUAAUACGGAGGGCACAAGCGUUGUUCGGAUUCAUUGGGCGUAAAGCGCGCGUAGGCGGACAAGUAAGUCUGGUGUGAAAUCAUCACCGCUUAACGGGAUGUUGUCACUGGAUACUGCUUGUCUUGAGGGCGUUAGAGGGAACCGGAAUUCCUGGUGUAGCGGUGGAAUGCGUAGAUAUCAGGAAGAACACCGAUUGCGAAGGCGGGUUCCUGGGGCGUACCUGACGCUGAGGCGCGAAAGCCAGGGGAGCGAACGGGCUUAGAUACCCCGGUAGUCCUGGCCGUAAACGAUGAGCACUAGGUGUGGGGGGUAUCGACCCCCCCCGUGCCGACGCUAACGCAUUAAGUGCUCCGCCUGGGGAGUACGGCCGCAAGGCUGAAACUCAAAGGAAUUGACGGGGGCCCGCACAAGCGGUGGAGUAUGUGGUUUAAUUCGACGCAACGCGAGGAACCUUACCGGGGCUGAAACACGUGGGAAAACCUUGUGAAAGCAGGGCUGCCUUCGGGCGCCCACGAUAGGUGCUGCAUGGCUGUCGUCAGCCCGUGUCGUGAGAUGUUGGGUUAAGUCCCGCAACGAGCGCAACCCCUGUCGCUAGUUACCAGCACGUCAUGGUGGGGACUCUAGCGAGACUGCCUACGCAAGUAGGAGGAAGGUGGGGACGACGUCAAGUCAUCAUGGCCCUUACGUCCCGGGCUACACACGUACUACAAUGGCUGGUAUAGAGGGCUGCAAUACCGCGAGGUGGAGCCAAUCCUUAAAGCCAGUCCCAGUUCGGAUUGGAGUCUGCAAUUCGACCCCAUGAAGUCGGAAUCGCUAGUAAUCGCGUAUCAGAAUGACGCGGUGAUACGUUCCCGGGCCUUGUACACACCGCCCGUCACACCACGAAAGUCGGCUGCUCCAGAAGUCGCUGGACCAACCCAUUAGGGAGGAAGGCGCCGAAGGAGCGGCUGGUAAUUGGGGUGAAG